rnacentral:rRNA from 1 species
UUCCUACGGGGCGCAGCAGUGGGGAAUAUUGGGCAAUGGGCGCAAGCCUGACCCAGCAACGCCGCGUGAAGGAAGAAGGCUUUCGGGUUGUAAACUUCUUUUCUCAGGGACGAAGCAAGUGACGGUACCUGAGGAAUAAGCCACGGCUAACUACGUGCCAGCAGCCGCGGUAAUACGUAGGUGGCAAGCGUUAUCCGGAUUUACUGGGUGUAAAGGGCGUGUAGGCGGGGACGCAAGUCAGAUGUGAAAUCCACGGGCUCAACCCGUGAACGGCAUUUGAAACGGGUUCCC